UUUAUAUGAGAGUUUGAUCCUGGCUCAGGAUGAACGCCGGCGGUGUGCCUAAUACAUGCAAGUCGUACGCACUGGCCCAACUGAUUGAUGGUGCUUGCACCUGAUUGACGAUGGAUCACCAGUGAGUGGCGGACGGGUGAGUAACACGUAGGUAACCUGCCCCGGAGCGGGGGAUAACAUUUGGAAACAGAUGCUAAUACCGCAUAACAACAAAAGCCGCAUGGCUUUUGUUUGAAAGAUGGCUUUGGCUAUCACUCUGGGAUGGACCUGCGGUGCAUUAGCUAGUUGGUAAGGUAAAGGCUUACCAAGGCGAUGAUGCAUAGCCGAGUUGAGAGACUGAUCGGCCACAAUGGAACUGAGACACGGUCCAUACUCCUACGGGAGGCAGCAGUAGGGAAUCUUCCACAAUGGGCGCAAGCCUGAUG
rnacentral:rRNA from 2 species